rnacentral:rRNA from 1 species
GACGAACGCUGGCGGCGUGCUUAACACAUGCAAGUCGAACGGUAAGGCCCUUCGGGGUACACGAGUGGCGAACGGGUGAGUAACACGUGGGUGAUCCACCCUGCACUCUGGGAUAAGCCUGGGAAACUGGGUCUAAUACCGGAUAUGAGCUCCUGUCGCAUGGCGGGGGUUGGAAAGGUUUACUGGUGCAGGAUGGGCCCGCGGCCUAUCAGCUUGUUGGUGGGGUAAUGGCCUACCAAGGCGACGACGGGUAGCCGGCCUGGGAGGGCGACCGGCCACACUGGGACUGAGACACGGCCCAGACUCCUACGGGAGGCAGCAGUGGGGAAUAUUGCACAAUGGGCGAAAGCCUGAUGCAGCGACGCCGCGUGAGGGAUGACGGCCUUCGGGUUGUAAACCUCUUUCAGCAGGGACGAAGCGAGAGUGACGGUACCUGCAGAAGAAGCACCGGCUAACUCCGUGCCAGCCGCCGCCGUAACAC